rnacentral:rRNA from 1 species
AUUGAACGCUGGCGGCAGGCCUAACACAUGAAAGUCGAGCGGAGCGGCGGAAGGGAGCGUAAUGCCUAGGAAUCUGCCUGGUAGUGGGGGAUAAAGUCCGGGAAAGGGCGCUAAUACCGCAUACUAUCAGAUGAGCCUAGGUGGGAUUAGGUAGUUGGUGGGGUAAAGGCAUACCAAGGCGAGGAACAGGAACGGGUCUGAGAGGAUGAUCAGUCACACUGUAACUGAGACACGGUCCAGACUCGUACUGGAGGCAGCAGUGGGGAAUAUUGGACAAUGGGCGAAAGCCUGAUCCAGGCAUGCCGCGUGUGUGAAGAAGGUCUUCGGAUUGUAAAGCACUUUAAGUUGGGAGGCGUUACCAACAGAAUAAGCACCGGCUAACUUCGUGCCAGCAGCCGCGGUAAUUC